rnacentral:rRNA from 1 species
GAUGAACGCUGGCGGCGUGCUUAACACAUGCAAGUCGAACGAAGCACUUUAUUUGAUUUCCUUCGGGACUGAUUAUUUUGUGACUGAGUGGCGGACGGGUGAUUAACUCGUGGGUAACCUGCCUUGUACAGGGGGAUAACAGUUGGAAACGGCUGCUAAUACCGCAUAAGCGCACAGCAUCGCAUUAUGCAGUGUGAAAAACUCCUGUGGUAUAAGAUGGACCCGCUUUGGAUUAGCUAUUUGGUGGGGUAACGGCACACCAAGGCGACGAUCCCUAGCUGACCUGAGAGGCUGCCAGGCCACAUUGGGACUGCGACACGGCCCAAACCCGUACGGAGGGCAGCAGUGGAGAAUAUUGCACAAUGAGCGAAAGUGUGAUGCCGCGACGCGGCGUGAGAGAAGAAGCAUUUCGGUAUGUAAAGCUCUAUCAGAAGGGAAGAGAAUGACGGUAACUGACUAAGAAGCACCGGCUAAAUACGUG